GAAACUCAGGGCUAUGCUAAGUGAGUAGCCUGGACAACUGACUUCUCCAGGUUCCAAAAGGCCUCGGCCAGCAAUACCUAGUCAGCUCAAGGUGGACACCGGGCCCUUGGUGAGGUAAGAAAGCAGUUCAUAUUGUCAGGGAGGAGGACAGCAGGAGUCCUGGGGUCCUCUCCCCCCCCAGCCAAUGAGUGAUUCACCGCCCUGCUCCACCGUCAGCCAGACUGUUUCUGCACAUUGGUUACCAACUCUUCAAUGUCCUGUCUCUCCUUUCCAAACUUGCUGCUGAUCCCUGAUUCCAAGUCCCAGCACUUUAUUAGCAUCUAUUGUAAGGGGCUUCACUGGGCUCUCCUUGCCUCCUGGAAACCACCUUCACGCUGACUGAUCAAGCAAAGCUCCGAAGCCUUUCAGGGCUUGGACUUCCAUAUGCAGUAAAGCUCCCAGCCCUGACCUUACCCAUCAGAUUCCUUCCUCCACUUCCCCAUGUUUUUGUUCAGAAAUUACUCCAGGCACACCAUCCUACUCUUAUUAAACACAGUUUUUUUCUCUCUC